rfam:Serratia proteamaculans 568, complete genome.
GGGCCGUUAGCUCAGUUGGUAGAGCAGUUGACUUUUAAUCAAUUGGUCGCAGGUUCGAAUCCCGCACGGCCCA